rnacentral:rRNA from 1 species
UAGGGAAUAUUGGACAAUGGGGGCAACCCUGAUCCAGCCAUGCCGCGUGAGUGAAGAAGGCCCUCGGGUUGUAAAGCUCUUUUGUCCGGAAAGAAAAGCUUCGGGUUAAUACCCCGGGGUUCUGACGGUACCGGAAGAAUAAGCACCGGCUAACUUCGUGCCAGCAGCCGCGGUAAUACGAAGGGUGCAAGCGUUACUCGGAAUUACUGGGCGUAAAGCGUGCGUAGGUGGUUGUUUAAGUCUGAUGUGAAAGCCCUGGGCUCAACCUGGGAAUGGCAUUGGAAACUGGGCAGCUGGAGUGCUGUAGAGGGUAGUGGAAUUCCCGGUGUAGCAGUGAAAUGCGUAGAGAUCGGGAGGAACAUCUGUGGCGAAGGCGACUGCCUGGACCAGCACUGACACUGAGGCACGAAAGCGUGGGGAGCAAACA